GCCAUACCCGCCACCUCCCCCCGACGCAGCCUCCCUCCACCACGGCCCGCACCUCCGUCGCCAGGCGCCCUGCCCGCCUCCACACCAGGCGCCCCGCGCAACUGCCGGCACAGAUCUGGUCUCGCCGCCAUCUCAGUGUCAGCAGUGCAAUGUGGCUAAAUUGGCCAUGUGAUUUUUUGUGUUCUUUUCGAAGCAAGAUAUGAAUUGAGGAUGCAAAUAUCUCAAUGAAGUUGGUACUAUAUUUGUUAAUGUGCGUACCAACUAUAGUAGCUUUUGCAGAAUGGAAGCUCUCGUCUGAUGAAGCACAGUGGCUUCCUGUGUUCUUCACGGGGAGCUAGGCUGCUGCAUUUAUGUAUGUGUAUGAGCAGCCGUGAAUGCUGGUUGUUGUGUUGGUGUAGCUGAACGGGAGGUAACCAUGAUUAUCUAUGUCGGCUGUGGUUUCUGAUUCUCUCAGAUUAUGAAUUGCUGUUUCAUCGUGUUUGGUUCAUGAUAACCAUGUUUAUCUAUGGUGUUGCUUUUAUAAUUCUCUGAAAUUUUGAGAUAUGGUUUCAAUCGUUUUAGUGAAUUUACUGCUCCCUUGUUGCACUGAAUUUACUGAAACUUGGUGGAGAGCAUAUGAAGGGAGCAGAGCACGCUGUUGUUUUACUGUUUUGCUGAUCAAAAUGAAUGAAGAAGCUGAGAUUUGACGAAAUGUUGGGCCAUGACCGUGCAUGGUAACUUCUGUCAGGCUGUGGUGCUUUAAUAAUCAGGCAGCUGGUUCUGCAGGUAACACAACUGCCGGCGCAUGGUGCAGUGCACCUCGCCGUGCGGUGUGGUUUGCAGGAGUUUCUUUUCUAGAUUUUUGGAUGUGCAGUGCACCCGGACCCCGCGAGCAGUGCGUCGCGCCCCCUGGUGUGGUUCAUCCACGACCACCGCUGACGAAAACAUAGGCAUCACGCGAGUUGUCGUUCGGUGCCUUGUCCCACGAGGAGCAGUUGAAGCAGUAGCUACUGGAGCAGAGUAGCGGGUGGUGGUGCGGCAUGGACGUCAUUUCGAUCCAUUGCUCGUGGCCUCCGCUGGUUCCGCAAGCUAGCUGCUACUCUACUUUUGUAUCAUUUUUUCUCCUCCUUGACUGCAAGUUGCUUCUGUCCCACCGCUAGCAAACUGCUUCUUUCGUCUAAACCGAUUCCCAUUGCUUGUGCAGUUUCAGGUAGUGUACCAUGUCCAGCUGCGAGUCACCGAAGUCCGCUACACGAUCCCGUGCAGUGCGCGGGUGUACAGGAAGCACCCCGUAAUCAAAAAUAGAAAAACUAUCAAUGAAGGAUGUUUUUGACUUUAUUGUUUGAUACGGAAGAAGACUAACAACGAAAAAAGAAGGAAAGAAGUGCACUGCAGCCACGUAGUGAUUCAGCUUGUAGAAAAAGAGAAGAAAUCCCCACGGAAAGUUUACUUUCUUUCUCGAAUUCAAUUUUUUUGUAUGUGGGAGGAUUGGAAAAUUUAGUUCACUUCAAUUUGUGUAGUAGCUCAUUGCACCUAUGUAUGAAGUGCAAUUUGUUUGUGUGUCUCAAAAAUCAGUCGACCACAUCAACACGUGCAGUGCGUUUAGUUCUCGGAUGUGGUUCACUUUUGAGAGUGAUGAGGUUCACUUGCACACAGCAUGAAAGUGUGAAAAAAUUUAGCAAAACAACAAAAAAGUAAUGCGGUUAGCUUUGAUAUAUGUCGCGGUUCACUUCCCUCGUCCCUGCGGUCCAUUCUCGGUCAUAAAAAAUGUUGAAAAAAAGAUGUCAAAAACUCGGCUGAGAAAAAUUUACAUCCGACAAAAGAAAUAAUGAAGUACACUUGACUGUCUGAUGCAGUGCGGUAUCUGUCUGAAGAAGUGCGCUCAUCUGUCUGAUGCAGUUUUUUCGUCGAUUUUGGUGUUGCGAAAAAACAGAGUGUCCGCAUUUUGUUUAAAUCAAAAUUGCUCUUAAACCUUAACACAUUAGCGAAAGUGUUCUACAUGAAAAAGUUGCGCCUCAACGAUACCUUUCCAACGGCAUAUCAUUUGAAUCAUUUCGACAACCGGUUUGUAAAAAUUUCAAAAAAAAACGGCCGCUGCCACUCGUCCUCUGCCGCACGAUUUUCAAAAUUAACUUAAAACUGUAAGCAAUCUCAAAACCAUUCCUACAUAUGAUAGUUGCGCCUUGUCCAUAGCUUUCCAACGACGUAUUACACGCCUCGUUUCGACAAACGGUUCAAAAACUAGAGCGAAAAUAGUACCGAAAAUUUGAAAAUUUUUGAAAAACAAAAUUCCGCGAUUUAGUAAAUUUGAAACUGCUCUUAAACCGUAACGAAUUAGAGAAACAUUUAUAUAUGAAAAAGAUGCGCCUCGACGAUAUCUAUCCAACGGCGUAUCAUUUGCUUCAUUCCGACAAGCGGUUUAGAAAUAAACGUGAAAAAACGCUCGCUGCCACUCGUCAUCCGCCGCACAAUUUUCAAAACUGCUCUUAAACCGUGUGGAAUCUCGAAAAGUGUUCAACAUGUCGAAGUUGCGCCUAAUCCAUAGCUUUUCAACGUUAUAUUACACGCCUCAUUCCGAUAAACGGUUAAAAAAUUAGAGCGAAAACAGUACCGAAAAAAGAACACGUGCAGUUUUUUUCGACACGAAGUUCACUAGUCUAUAUUGCAGUGCUCGUCGUCAAGAAGAUGCAGUGCACUUGCGGUCAGUGUGCAGUGUGGAAGUGGUGUGCAAAAUAGUUAUUCUGCUAAUACUAGCAGAAUAGACCGUCUGUAUAUAUAUAUAUAUAUAUAUAUAUAUAUAUAUAUAUAUAUAUAUAUAUAUAUGCAGUUAAAUUCUCAACCUAGAACGACGUGCAUGCCAUGUAGUAAACCGAUCCGAAGGAAGUAUAGUAAAAAUGAGGUGAUUUUACCGAGCAAUCGGCGGGGGAGCAUGGCCUGUCAUGCGGUCCCAGUGUCAUGAUGUACCAAGGCGAUGCGCGUGUCCCUCUUGAGGCAGAAACAAUACUAGUACGUGGUUUGAGAUGAUGUCGAACCGAAGUGUGAAAUAAUGGUUGCUUCGUCCGUCUGGGAAGGUGCGGCAUUGUGAUUUGACGUCUCAUUGCUCAUUACUACUACUGGGCCAGUACGAGUGGGGUGCGUCCCCCUGCUGUUCUGCACUGUUAUUUGUUGCUUAACACGUCGAUCCGGUUGCUAUAUGUCCCACAUGUCGGCGACAGGAAGUACAGAAUUCAUGAAAGGGAGCGUCGACGGAGGAGUAUACUACAGAAUUCAUGAAAGGGAGCGACUUAGUUUUGGAAAAAUCUGUUUUUACGGAGUACGUACCCACUAGGGUUUAUAGGGCUCAUCUAAAAAAUAUUCGUUUUUCUGUUUGAUAAGUCUCAAUUCUACUAUACUAGUAGUAGUACCAUUAAAUGUUGGAUUUGGAGGUGCAUUAGAUCACCCGACGCAAGCAGUGUCAAGAGGAAACUAACCAAUGCAUGUACAAGUUCAUGGAAAUUUAGUGGUCAUUCAUGCAUUCGUUCUAAUUAAUGCCUCGGUAAACGUAACUUCUUGAGAAAAAUGAGCGUACUGUGCAAACUACGAAAUUAAUUCGACCACUCACCAUCUACCUUGGUUGGAGAGAUUUUGAAAUUGAGCCAUAAACUAGAAAGGAGGGAGUAGUAACUUUUGUCUCGAUUACUAUUUGUGGCCUUGUAUAGAUGCAAAAUGUAUUUUUUUAUAGUGGCCUUGUAUAAGUAAAUAGAGGGAGUACUAACCAAAGUACGUAGUAGGGACGAGGAGUAAACGAAGGGAGUAGUAAAAGUUUCUCCUCGUGUUGCGAGCCACCGCGCGCGUGGGGAGGGAGCGGACGUAAAGGAGUACAGUAGUAGUAAGCUUCACCUCAUCCCGCGAGCCACCGCGCCCGUGGGCGGGAGAGACGGCGUACUAAGGAAGCUUCUCCUCGUUCUGCGAGUUGACGGGACACAUCAAAAGUAUACUCCAGUGUAUAGAGACUUGCCUCUAAGGUAGGCCCCACAUAGUUUGCCUCUUUUUUUAAUUUAACAUAACGCAUCAAGUCGCAAUUUGUUUGUUCAUCCGUGGUAGACGAUCCUCCCUCCACCAAGUGGAUAACCAGUACACGUGCCAAAUUACCACGUGGGCUGCCUUUUUCGUACAGAAAUGAGCUCCACCGUGUACCCACGCGGGUGUGGUUGGGAAAGAUACGGGAGUACGUGCGUCGUGCGUGCACCUCUUCUCUUCAUGCACGUCCCCCACCUACGUGGGUGUGUGUGAGAGAGAUACAAACCUAGACAUAAUGCGCCGUCCAUCCCCAUGCCUCCGCCCAGUCCGACCACCAGUCACCACCACGGCACCACGCCCCACUCCUCCUCACCUUAUCUCUCAUAUUUCUCCCUCCAUUUUUAUAUACAAGGGGCCACUAUCAAAAUUACAAUUUGCAGAUAUACAAGGCCACUAACACUAAUCGAUGCAAUAUUAAUGGUGUUUGCCUCGUGGUACUAGCAAAGGAGGACAUUAAUUAUCCCUUGCAUGCAUGCGGGAGUUUGUAAAAAAAUGCAUCUUGAUGUUCUGUGCAAUGCACGGGCAUCUUGCUAGUCCAUGAAAACAACACAUGGCAAAAUUCCACGGCGAACGAGGGAUUUGAAUUUGUUGGGAGGGGCUGUUUGGAUCUUGCCCGGGGUAGCCAAAAUAUUGGCGACCCUUUUGUCCACCGGUGCCUUUGCCACCGAUGAACGAGGAAUGGCUCGGGUGCUCAUGCUGUCAUGCAUCCUCCAGCGCGCACGUUGGAGACGAGCUUGCACGAGUUGUGUUUUUUGUCCCACAACACCGCCCGAGCCGCCCGCAGACCGACCGACAACCCGCAAAUUACGCCAUCCAACCGUAGCCGCACACAUUAUGACAGCAACUCAACCAACCGGACGAAAUUCACGCAAACACGUAGACAAACUGAUAUUUCAUAUAAACAACGACGGAAAUCAUAUAAAAUACCGGAUUUUCACACAAACAUGACGGAUUUCAUUACAUUCAAAUGAACUACGCGGUGCUAGUUCUGGACAGCACAGGUAUAUAAUACCUGGCCUAAAUGGUCGCCCGCCGAUCGAUUUGUGUUCCUCAUGUCUAGCAUGAUCACCGGACUGCCGGGAGCCCCGGAGGUAUAUGCUUCAGUGCAAAGGUCGGCUUGCUUCCCAUUGCCCAACUGAUAUCAUUGGCUGGUGCCGAAGAUGAUGGUGGCCGACACCGGUUCAAGUUCAUCACCAGCCACUACUUCGCCAUGGCCGGCGCCGGCUCGAGUUCAUCCUAACAUUCCCCUCUUCCGUGGAGCCCAUGCAGGGUUGACGAAGGUCCUCGCAACAAAAGGAUCCGGCAAGACACCUGCUGUGUACACCGGCGUCGCCUCCGCGGUGGCCUUCAUGGGACCCAAGCGGCGGUGGCCUCCCGUGUUCUACUUCUCCUCGAUGAUGGCGGCGGACGUGGAGGCGCUGGCCACCAACUCGUCACUCUCCGCGCACCCGGCUUCUGUCGCUACUUGCAUGGCGCGACCGCCGGCAUGGGAGUCUCGACCAUAGAAACGGGAGACGCGGUACGAGGCGGAGGCGUAGACAGCAACAACGACGCCCGUGCGCCGCUCCUCGUCGAGCUGGCCUGGAGCGGCGAGUUGCUGAACCGCGCGCCGACUUGGGGCGGCAACUGGCUCCGUCGGGCGAGGGGAGGGAGGUGGAUCAGCGAGCUGCAUAGCUUGGAUCCGGCGGGCUACCUAGCCGGCUUGGAUGUGGAAUAACUACUCUUCGUAAGCCAUUGUAAGAGUGGACAAAAUGGUGGAGGAGAUAGGGGAGCAGCGGAGGUGUGCGAUUCUUGGCCGACGUUUGGCCUCGUUUAAAUAGGAGAUUAAAUAGACGGCGGACGGGAGGAGCUCGGCUGGUGUUGCGUUUAACGCCGGCCCGGUCAUGAAUGGACGUGUGUCCAGAGUGGGUUUCUCGGCUUCCACAUGGGCAGGUUUCAUGGAGGCAUUUGAAUGCGGCACGGAGGUGUGUUCAGCCGGGUGUGCCGCGAGUGGCGCCCUCAACUCUGACCUAGGACACCGCGCCAUUCUUCCACUGACGUGUGGGCUCUUUGGGUGCAUGGCCUGCAUGUCAGUGACCCAACGCAGGCAGCACACAGCAGAGGAACCUUUGGUGGGCUAGGGCGGUCAGAAGCGGGCAUUUCAUAAACCGAUGAUUGUUCAUUGAGUGUGACGUCAUCUUUUUCAUGUAGUUAAGCCUACUAUGUUGAUAGCCCAUUCGAUACGUUGUGAUUCAUAAAGACCGAUGCAAACAUCAAUGUUCUGCUUAUCACAGAUAAGAUUGAUUAAUACCCGUAACAAUCCAUGUCCUUAACAAAGGGUGCAUGCACGUAUAGGUUGAGCGUGUGUCUUGCGUUGUGUGCUAUGUGCAUGCAGUCAUGCAAGUGUUGCGUGCGUGCAAGGGUGCGUUUCAGUGUUGCAUGCAUGGGUGCGUACGUGCGUGUGUUCGUGAGUGCAUGUGUACGUGUCAGUGUUGCACGCCAGCAUGCGUGCGUGUGUACGUUACGUGUACGUGUCAGUGUUGCACGCCUACAUGUGUGCGUGUCUUGCGUGCGUGCAUGUGUACGUGCGGGGUGAGGCUACACGUCAGUCGACUGACUUUUUCAUCUCUGGUCAUUAGAUUUUCCAGCCGUUGGAUACGAAAUCAAGGGCCUCCAGUUUAUCAUCAAACUCAGCCCCCCUGAGCCACCAGCCACCACCGGCCGAACCGCCCGCCUCCGCCGCCCGCGGCCGGCCCGCCCUCCCCGNNNNNNNNNNNNNNNNNNNNNNNNNNNNNNNNNNNNNNNNNNNNNNNNNNNNNNNNNNNNNNNNNNNNNNNNNNNNNNNNNNNNNNNNNNNNNNNNNNNNNNNNNNNNNNNNNNNNNNNNNNNNNNNNNNNNNNNNNNNNNNNNNNNNNNNNNNNNNNNNNNNNNNNNNNNNNNNNNNNNNNNNNNNNNNNNNNNNNNNNNNNNNNNNNNNNNNNNNNNNNNNNNNNNNNNNNNNNNNNNNNNNNNNNNNNNNNNNNNNNNNNNNNNNNNNNNNNNNNNNNNNNNNNNNNNNNNNNNNNNNNNNNNNGCUUUUUCUCCGGGGAUCCCCACCCCACCGCCCAAUGAACGCCCCCCAAUCGCCGGUGAUUGCCAACCAGAGGUCUCACGACUUCGUAUACCCACCGACCACUAGUUUAUUACCAUUCCUGUCCUUCAUAUAUGCGCUGACGGGUGGGCCCUAUGGUAAUGUGCGCUGCUGAAUGUGGACUGUUUGACUGGUCAAUUGAUCAUGUUAUCAACAAAUUACAGAGCUGUGUGGUGAGCCAGUGACCAUAUGAUCACCCUAAAAUGUACUCCUAUUUUAUUAACACAGUACAGACUCAAACUACCAUUUCUUUCUUUUAUAUACGGGCUGACAGGUUGUCACGCCCAAUAUGCGACCCUAUCCAAAAGGAACUCGAAGGUCCCACCAAGGAUAGACCCGCAUAUUGGAACGCUUUUGCAAGGUGGAUAUCAUUACAUCAACAUUACAUAAUAGAUGGGUAUACAUACAUAAGUCACACAAUUGCCACACGAAUACAAUAUCAUCAUACAAGAGAUCAACAUCCGACUACGGAUGAUACAUAAACAGAAACUCAAACAAUAUCCAUCCUGCUAGCCCAGGCUGCCGACCUGGAACCUAUCCCCUGAUCGAAGAAGAAGCAGAAGAAGAACUCCAAAACAAGCAAACAUCGCUCUCGCGUCAUGAUCAUCGCAUAACCUGUACCUGCAACUGUUGUUGUAGUAAUCUGUGAGCCACGAGGACUCAGCAAUCCCAUUACCAUGGGUAUCAAGACUAGCAAAGCUUAAUGGGAAAGGAAGGGGGUAAAGUGGUGAGGUUGCAGCAGCGGCUAAGCAUGAUAUGGUGGCUAACAUACGCAAAUGAGAGCGAGAAGAGAAGCAAAGGAACGGUCGUAAAACUAGCAAUGAUCAAGAAGUGAUCCUGAACUCCUACUUACAUCAAACAUAACACAGAAACUGUGUUCACUUCCCGGACUCCGCCGAGAAGAGACCAUCACGGCUACACACGCGGUUGAUGCAUUUUAAUUCGGAUCUGGUGUCAAGUUAUCUACAACCGGACAUUAACAAAUUCCCAUCUGCCACAUAACCGCGGGCAUGGCUCUCGAAAGUUUAUACCCCGCAGGGGUGUCCCAACUUAGCCCAUGAUAAGCUCUCGCGAUCAACGAAGGAUAUUCCUUCUCCCAGGAAGACCCGAUCAGUCUCGAAAUCCCGGUUUACAAGACAUUUCGACAAUGGUAAAACAAGACCAGCAAAGCCGCCCGAUGCGCCGACAAUCCCGAUAGGAGCUGCACAUAUCUCGUUCUCAGGGCAACACCGGAUAAGUCAAGCUACGAGUAAAACCAGACUUCGAGUUUCCCCGAGGUGGCCCCACAGGCUGCUCAGUUCGGACCAACACUUAGACAAGCACUGGCCCGGGGGGGGGGGCUAUAAUAAAGAUGACCCUUGGGUUAAUUACUCCCAAGGGAAAAGGUAGGUGGUGGUGAGGCAAAUGGUAAAACCAAGGUUGGGCCUUGCUGGACAAGUUUUAUUCAAAGCAAACUGUCAGGGGGGUCCCAUAAAUCACCCGACCGCGUAAGGAACGCAAAAUCCGGGAACAUAAUACCGGUAUGACGGAAACUAGGGCGGCAAGAGUGGAACAAAACACCAGGCAUAAGGCCGAGCCUUCCACCCUUUACCAAGUAUAUAGAUGCAUUAAUAAUAUAAGAGAUAUUGUGAUAUCCCAACAUAACCCUGUCCACCAUGGAGAGAAAUCUUCAACUUCACCUGCAGCUAGCAACGCUAUAAGAGGGGCUGAGCAAAGCGGUAACAUAGCCAAGCAAUGGUUUGCUAGGAAUGGUGUCAAAGGUUAGAGGUUCAUGGCAAUUUGGGAGGCUUGAAGAGCAAAUGAUAGGUAACGCAACAUAGCGAUAGAACGAAGCAACUAGCAUAGCAAUGAUAGUAGUGAGAUCCAGGGUAGCGGUCAUCUUGCCUGAAAUCCCGCUAGGAAGAAGAACGAUUCCAUGAAGAAGAUGAAGCCACGAAGACGAACCAAGCGUAGACGAACGAAUCCUCACGAUCGCAACGAAACGAGAACUAUUGAGAAGAAGCACACAACAUAGUAAACACACCACACAUAGACAAGACACGAUGCACAUACAAGCAUGAUGCAUGACAAGGCUACAUGAAGCUACUCAUGGCAAGAUAUGAUGCAAACAAGAACAACACAUCAAGGCAAGUUUAAAUGAGGCCGGAAACAACAUAUAACAAUUCCGGUAAGUCCUCAUAUGCAAAUUUCGAAAUUGGUCCAGAACUGAAUAAACCUUAUGUUCAAGUUGUUAAACAGCAAGUUAAAGAUCACCAAGAUGAUCUACACAAAAUUCUAGUCAAGUUACAUAUAAAGUUCAUUAGAUUUGGAGCUACGGCCUAGAAGAUAUGAGCAAAACAAGUUCAACAUGGCAUUGAUGCAAAAUGCAUACAAACAUCAAGCAAACACCUCAAAACAAGGAUGCAACAUGAUAAUAUGAAACUACAUGCAAUUCUAAGCAAGUUUCAUAUAGAUCACACUCAAAACGGAGCAACGGUUCAACACACACACACUAUACAAGUCAUAGCAACAAUCUGUCCAUAACAGCAACUAGGCAUCUUACAAGCAUCAAAACAACAUGCUACAGCACCCCAACAUAAUAACAAAAGGCAUGGGCAUGAAGUACAGGUAAAGCAUAACAAAACAUGAACACUGAGCUAUCUCCAGAAAUCACUAGAACAUGCUCAAAAAGACAUGGAGAGAUUGCAAAUAAUAACAGUUUCAGACUUUAGCAGAAAUAACAUCAGGUUGCAAUGUUUAGAGCUAUCAAACAACAUGUUACAGGAACAUAUCAUGGCAAACAAAGGCAUGGCAUGAAUCUACUAAUGGCAUAGAACAAAAGACCCUUACUGACCAUGAGCCAAAAGGGCACAGAAAAUAUGAUGGCACCCAUGUAAACAUGGCAAGUUAUAUGACAGAUUCCAACAUGGCAGGAACAACAAUAAGUAGGCAUGUUGGUGAGAUUGAACCACUCACCACAGAGCAAUACAUGACAUGGCAAGGCAACCAACAGUAAGAAGGCAUGUUUGUGAAGCUAUACAUGGCAAGAUCAAGUUCAUAGGAUGCAUGGAUCACUAGCAAACAAUCAUGGAAACAUUGAACUUAAUGUUAACAGGUUGACAGCAACAUUAUUUAGCAAGUUUGGAGCAAGAUUACAACAAGCUACAGCAACCUAUAAAUGCAACCAGGGGCAUGUAUGGAUAGAGGAUGACAUGUAGAUCAAAACAUGUUUAUAGAACAUCUCCAGAUUAUGCAUAGAAUGAUUAGUAGCAGCAGGUUUACAUAGCAACAAAAUAUAACAGAAUCUGUCAGGAAAACAGCAACAACAAGUACCCUACUUAACAAGCUCAAUGCACUCACUACACAAGUCACAAAAAUACAUGGAUGGCACCCCUGGAAAGAUGGCAUAUCAUAGAUCAAAACACAUGUAGACAUCAACCUCAUAGGAUGCACACAUCAAUCAUGGCAAAAAUGACAAAUGAGCAUGUUAUAACAGUUUCAGCAGGUUAACAGCAACAUGCACUCUUACAACAGCAUUUAGGGCAUCAAGAUGAGCUCAAAUGAAAAUGACGCAGUGGAAUGAAAUGAAGUACUCGUUGAGGCGAACAAUUGGACAUAUUAUACGCACGAAACGGAGCAAUAUGCACAGAGUUAUGAUGCGAUGAAAAUGCAUAAAAAAUACUGGGAUCUGGGGACUUAGACAUAUUUCACCUAGCGGAUUAGGGUUGACCGCGGCACGGAUCCCGAGGCGGCGGCGGAUCUCGCCGGAUCUCCGCUGGAGAAGAGGCGACGGUGGCCGGAGUUGGCCGGAUCCGGUGGAUCCCGGCGGCGGAGGGCGGCAGGGAGACGCGGAGGCCCGCGGGCAGCUCCAGUCGGCGACGGCGAAGGGGCGGCUGGCGCGGAGGAGCUCACCCGCAGCGAGGAGCUCCGGGCGGUGAGAGUCGCCGGCGGGGAGAGGUGCAGGGCAGGCGGUGGCUUCGGGAUGCUUGGGGAGCGGCGACGCGGGACGGGGUCGCCGACGAACUAGGCAGGGGCGGCGACUGGCGGCAAUGGGCAGCGGGGCCGAGGCCUGGCGAGGCGCGGUUGGGCGGCGGAGGUCGCCGGCGCCGGGCGGCGAGGGCNNNNNNNNNNNNNNNNNNNNNNNNNNNNNNNNNNNNNNNNNNNNNNNNNNNNNNNNNNNNNNNNNNNNNNNNNNNNNNNNNNNNNNNNNNNNNNNNNNNNNNNNNNNNNNNNNNNNNNNNNNNNNNNNNNNNNNNNNNNNNNNNNNNNNNNNNNNNNNNNNNNNNNNNNNNNNNNNNNNNNNNNNNNNNNNNNNNNNNNNNNNNNNNNNNNNNNNNNNNNNNNNNNNNNNNNNNNNNNNNNNNNNNNNNNNNNNNNNNNNNNNNNNNNNNNNNNNNNNNNNNNNNNNNNNNNNNNNNNNNNNNNNNNNNNNNNNNNNNNNNNNNNNNNNNNNNNNNNNNNNNNNNNNNNNNNNNNNNNNNNNNNNNNNNNNNNNNNNNNNNNNNNNNNNNNNNNNNNNNNNNNNNNNNNNNNNNNNNNNNNNNNNNNNNNNNNNNNNNNNNNNNNNNNNNNNNNNNNNNNNNNNNNNNNNNNNNNNNNNNNNNNNNNNNNNNNNNNNNNGGGUCCAGGACGGGCUCCGCGGGCCGCGGCGGCGGUGGGCGGCGGAGCGCCACGUGGCGGCUCCAGAUUAGCGCGGGAGCGGCUGUAGUUUCGUCCGGCGGGCGCGGACAUGUCCGCCGGGCGAGAGGGAGGUGGAGACUAGGGUUAGGGGGAUUCAUCCUUGAAAAUGGAAGGGGAGGGACGUUUUUAUAGGUAGAGGGAGCUAGGGGAGUCCAAAUGGGGAGCGGUUUUCGGCCACGCGAUCGUGAUCGAACGACCAAGAGCAUAGAGGGGAGUUUGCUGGGUUUUGGGCCACUUUGAAAAGGGUGUUGGGCUGCAAAGAGAGAGGGGGCUUUGCGGUUACCAGGUUAACCAUUGGAGUAUCAAACGACCUCCAAAUGGCACGAAACUUGACAGGUGGUCUACCAGCGCUAUACCAAGGCCGCUUGGCAAACCUCGGUCCAUUCCGAGAAAGUUUAACACCCACUCACAACAGGAGACAAAAGGGGGACGCCGGGGGACAUAGGAGUGCCGGAUUGCAAAACGGACAACGGGGAAAAUGCUUGGAUGCAUGAGACGAACACGUAUGCGAAAUGAGAUGCACAUGAUGACAUGAUAAAAUGCAACACGCAAGCAAAUGACAUGGCAAUGACGACGAAUAACUGGCGGACACCUGGCGCAACGAAUCCGGGGCGUUACAACACUCCUCCACUAACAAGAGAUCUCGUCCCGAGAUCUUAGGACCGAGACGGAAGGGAAAAGGGAAUGAGGUGAAACAAGAACUCAAGAGAAUAGAUGAACAAAGUCGAGAGCACUCGGUUAGAAAAGAUGAACGGCGAAUAUGACGAGAAUCGAAUGCUCAUGGAAUCGGAUAGACUAUGAAACGACUCGUUCUAACCGGAGUGGUUAGAAUGAGAAAAGAAACGGAUAAGACUGAAAGGAUUUAGACAGAACUCCGGCUGAAAAUGGAAAGACUAGCAUAUGAACUAGAGAGGAUGGAAUGACACUUGAUGAAGACAUAACACAAAACCUCUGGAAUGGAUGGAAAGAGUUGAUUGAAAAGAACGGAGAAGACAAUGACAACUUGUGCCACGAAUGAAAUAGAUAGCAACCUCAGAAGAAAGGAUUGAACGGAGUUGUUGAGAACAUCAACAACAAAAAGAAUUGCUUGUUGUGGACUUAUGGAUAACAUCUCAAAAUCAUAUGGUGAUAACCGGCCACAAACGGAAAUGUUUGGAUAGCUGAGAAGAACGAAGAAAUGCAAAACUCCACUUCAAAAGAAUACGGAGAAUUAAUUGCACUUCGAGAUGCAAGAAAGAAAGCUUCCUGAGCUCCACCAAAAGAACCUUGAUGAACACUUGAAGAAUGAAUUAAAUGAUGAAGAACCACCAUGAAGAACUCCGGUAAACAAAAGGAUGAUGAAAUAGAAUGAAGGAUGAAACAAUAAUAUGAGCGUUGCGAUGAUUUAGAUGGAGGUUCCGACGAAAUGGCCGAGGAAAAAUUGAACUCCGAAAAAGAAAAGAUGAAAACACUUGAAACUAGCAUUUAUUCCUCAAGAACAAACUCUGAAGGAAGGGAUAGCUCACUUGGAUGAAAUAAGAAUAAGAUUUAUUGUAUGCUUAUCCUUCAUCAAAUUAAAUUGAUGACAAGCAAAUGAUUUACAUAUUACUUAUUCUUCUUGAAAAGGAUUGAGAAGUGACAUAUCUCAAACUUGAGAAGGUCUACAUGAACCACCGGUAGGAUUGAAAAGAGCGAAUGAAUUAAUAUGAUAAUGAAGGAAAAAGAAUCUUGAACGAACCACCGUAAGAAUUUGGAAAUGACUGAUGAAAGAGAAUGUUCACCGGGAAGAAUUAGAAGACAAAUAUGCUUGAGGGGGAUUUAGAUGCAAAAGAACGAAGAGAUCGCGAACUGAUUGAAGAAUACUUGAACGAAGCACCGGGAUAAAUAGAGAACGAUAACAGGAAUGAUGCCUCAGGUGAAAAGAAAUGGAAAAACAACUCCUGACAUACUCCGGAUAGAUGGAAGAAUUGCACGGCUGGAAACAAUUAGAUAGGAUAACAUCGAGCUAGCACCAUGAAUCUCUGGGAGAACGGACAAGAUUUAAGAGAAAUCUUCUUCUGUCUUCAAAUGACGACGAUAAACACCACUAAAAUUACUGAGAUACUCCGGGAGAAUGAAAAACAAAGAGGUUGAGCCAACAAAGAAAUGAUUUGAAAUUGAUCUUGGAAAAGGCAUGUGACUGAUGAAAUUCAUUCUUACGUCACACUUGAAAAGAAUUGAGAAUAACUCCGGGAGAAUUAGAAGAGUCAAGUAAGAUCCUGGGAAAAGACCUGUGGGUUAGGGCCCACUAAUAGAAAACACCGUUGAAAAGCAUUGUUGAAGAGGUAGAUGAUGCACCGGAACAAUUGAAAUAUUAGAAUGAGGUGACAACCUUGAAUUUAAUUGGAACACAGACGAAUCUCCUAAAAUAUCUUGAACACUCCAGAAGGAUAAACUAGCGAGAGGCGAACGAGCAGGGAAAAACACUUGAGCCGAGGAAAAAGAAUAUGAACAACCCGAAAAACUUGAAUUGAGUCCACCGGAAAAGAAAAAAGAUGAAGAAUGACAAACGAGACGAGAAAUCACCGGUUGAAAUAAUUGAUGAAAGACUGAAGAGGCUCCGCNNNNNNNNNNNNNNNNNNNNNNNNNNNNNNNNNNNNNNNNNNNNNNNNNNNNNNNNNNNNNNNNNNNNNNNNNNNNNNNNNNNNNNNNNNNNNNNNNNNNNNNNNNNNNNNNNNNNNNNNNNNNNNNNNNNNNNNNNNNNNNNNNNNNNNNNNNNNNNNNNNNNNNNNNNNNNNNNNNNNNNNNNNNNNNNNNNNNNNNNNNNNNNNNNNNNNNNNNNNNNNNNNNNNNNAGGCUCCGCACGAAUGAAAUAGAUGGUCGAGAGAGACUCAGACUCCGGGAAGAAAAGGGGUGGGAGGGCGGGAAAACAAAGGCAACUUGGAAGGGGAAACCGACGAAUAUCUUGAAGAGAAAAACACCGAUUGAAAGAAACAAAGGCUUCACACGAGUAGGAUGGAUACUCGAUUAUAGACUCUGGUUCCGAGAGGAAGAAGGGUGGGCGGGUGGGAAAAACAAAGACAACUUCGGACAGGGAAAAACAACAACGUCGGAGGAAGAACUGAGGAUUGAUCUCCCAAAGAGAGAGAGGCUCGAAUCAGCUUGACGAGGAAUGCGCCGGACAAAAGAGGAUGGACAAGGAAUGAAAACUAACCACGAGAUCCUAAAGAAAAAUUUGAAGGGGAAGAGGAGUAAUUCAAAACACCUACGUCAAGAUUCCUCACCAGAGCGACGAAGAGGCAGAGGAGUAAAAAGAAUUCCUACUCUCCGAUAUAACUAGACUCCGAAAACAGUUUUCUUCUAGACUCAACAAUGGCUAAACUACACGAUCAAUUAAGGGGGGCUCCUAGGGUCGGUCGAGGCUCUGAUUACCAACUUGUCAUGCCCAAUAUGCGACCCUAUCCAAAAGGAACUCGAAGGUCCUACCAAGGAUAGACCCGCAUAUUGGAACGCUUUUGCAAGGUGGAUAUCAUUACAUCAACAUUACAUAAUAGAUGGGGAUACAUACAUAAGGCACACAAUUGCCACACGAAUACAAUAUCAUCAUACAAGAGAUCAACAUCCGACUACGGAUGAUACAUAAACAGAAACUCAAACAAUAUCCACCCUGCUAGCCCAGGCUGCCGACCUGGAACCUAUCCCCUGAUCGAAGAAGAAGCAGAAGAAGAACUCCAAAACAAGCAAACAUCGCUCUCGCGUCAUGAUCAUCGCAUAACCUGUACCUGCAACUGUUGUUGUAGUAAUCUGUGAGCCACGAGGACUCAGCAAUCCCAUUACCAUGGGUAUCAAGACUAGCAAAGCUUAAUGGGAAAGGAAGGGGGUAAAGUGGUGAGGUUGCAGCAGCGGCUAAGCAUGAUAUGGUGGCUAACAUACGCAAAUGAGAGCGAGAAGAGAAGCAAAGGAACGGUCGUAAAACUAGCAAUGAUCAAGAAGUGAUCCUGAACUCCUACUUACGUCAAACAUAACACAGAAACCGUGUUCACUUCCCGGACUCCACCGAGAAGAGACCAUCACGGCUACACACGCGGUUGAUGCAUUUUAAUUCAGAUCUGGUGUCAAGUUAUCUACAACCGGACAUUAACAAAUUCCCAUCUGCCACAUAACCGCGGGCAGGGCUCUCGAAAGUUUAUACCCUGCAGGGGUGUCCCAACUUAGCCCAUGAUAAGCUCUCGCGAUCAACGAAGGAUAUUCCUUCUCCCAGGAAGACCCGAUCAGUAUCGGAAUCCCGGUUUACAAGACAUUUCGACAAUGGUAAAACAAGACCAGCAAAGCUGCCCGAUGCGCCGACAAUCCCGAUAGGAGCUGCACAUAUCUCGUUCUCAGGGCAACACCGGAUAAGUCAAGCUACGAGUAAAACCAGACUUCGAGUUUCCCCGAGGUGGCCCCGCAGGCUGCUCAGUUCGGACCAACACUUAGACAAGCACUGGCCCGUGGGGGGGCUAUAAUAAAGAUGACCCUUGGGUUAAUUACUCCCAAGGUAAAAGGUAGGUGGUGGUGAGGCAAAUGGUAAAACCAAGGUUGGGCCUUGCUGGACAAGUUUUAUUCAAAGCAAACUGUCAGGGGGGUCCCAUAAAUCACCCGACCGCGUAAGGAACGCAAAAUCCGGGAACAUAAUACCGAUAUGACGGAAACUAGGGCGGCAAGAGUGGAACAAAACACCAGGCAUAAGGCCGAGCCUUCCACCCUUUACCAAGUAUAUAGAUGCAUUAAUAAUAUAAGAAAUAUUGUGAUAUCCCAACAUAACCCUGUCCACCAUGGAGAGAAAUCUUCUACUUCACCUGCAGCUAGCAACGCUAUAAGAGGGGCUGAGCAAAGCGGAAACAUAGCCAAGCAAUGGUUUGCUAGGAAUGGUGUUAAAGGUUGGAGGUUCAUGGCAAUUUGGGAGGCUUGAAGAGCAAAUGAUAGGUAACGUAGCAUAGCGAUAGAACGAAGCAACUAGCAUAGCAAUGAUAGUAGUGAGAUCCGGGGUAGCGGUCAUCUUGCCUGAAAUCCCGCUAGGAAGAAGAAUGAGUCCAUGAAGAAGAUGAAGCCACGAAGACGAACCAAGCGUAGACGAACGAAUCCUCACGAUCGCAACGAAACGGGAACUAUCGAGAAGAAGCACACAACAUAGUAAACACACCACACAUAGACAAGACAUGAUGCACAUACAAGCAUGAUGCAUGACAAGGCUACAUGAAGCUACUCAUGGCAAGAUAUGAUGCAAACAAGAACAACACAUCAAGGCAAGUUUAAAUGAGGCCGGAAACAACAUAUAACAAUUCCGGUAAGUCCUCAUAUGCAAAUUUCGAAAUUGGUCCAGAACUGAAUAAACCUUAUGUUCAAGUUGUUAAACAGCAAGUUAAAGAUCACCAAGAAGAUCUACACGAAAUUCUAGUCAAGUUACAUAUAAAGUUCAUUAGAUUUGGAGCUACGACCUAGAAGAUAUGAGCAAAACAAGUUCAACAUGGCAUUGAUGCAAAAUGCAUACAAACAUCAAGCAAACACAUCAAAAUAAGGAUGCAACAUGAUAAUAUGAAACUACAUGCAAUUUUAAGCAAGUUUCAUAUAGAUCACACUCAAAACGGAGCAACGGUUCAACACACACACACUAUACAAGUCAUAGCAACAAUCUGUCCAUAACAGCAACUAGGCAUCUUACAAGCAUCAAAACAACAUGCUACAGCACCCCAACAUAAUAACAAAAGGCAUGGGCAUGAAGUACAGGUAAAGCAUAACAAAACAUGAACACUGAGCUAUCUCCAGAAAUCACUAGAACAUGCUCAAAAAGACAUGGAGAGAUUGCAAAUAAUAACAGUUUCAGGCUUUAGCAGAAAUAACAUCAGGUUGCAAUGUUUAGAGCUAUCAAACAACAUGUUACAGGAACAUAUCAUGGCAAACAAAGGCAUGGCAUGAAUCUACUAAUGGCAUAGAACAAAAGACCCUUACUGACCAUGAGCCAAAAGGGCACAGAAAAUAUGAUGGCACCCAUGUAAACAUGGCAAGUUAUAUGACAGAUUCCAACAUGGCAGGAACAACAAUAAGUAGGCAUGUUGGUGAGAUUGAACCACUCACCACAGAGCAAUACAUGACAUGGCAAGGCAACCAACAGUAAGAAGGCAUGUUUGUGAAGCUAUACAUGGCAAGAUCAAGUUCAUAGGAUGCAUGGAUCACUAGCAAACAAUCAUGAAAACAUUGAACUUAAUGUUAACAGGUUGACAGCAACAUUAUUUAGCAAGUUUGGAGCAAGAUUACAACAAGCUACAGAAACCUAUAAAUGCAACCAGGGGCAUGUAUGGAUAGAGGAUGGCAUGUAGAUCAAAACAUGUUUAUAGAACAUCUCCAGAUUAUGCAUAGAAUGAUUAGUAGCAGCAGGUUUACAUAGCAACAAAAUAUAACAGAAUCUGUCAGGAAAACAGCAACAACAAGUACCCUACUUAACAAGCUCAAUGCACUCACUACACAAGUCACAAAAAUACAUGGAUGGCACCCCUGGAAAGAUGGCAUAUCAUAGAUCAAAACACAUGUAGACAUCAACCUCAUAGGAUGCACACAUCAAUCAUGGCAAAAAUGACAAAUGAGCAUGUUAUAACAGUUUUAGCAGGUUAACAGCAACAUGCACUCUUCCAACAGCAUUUAGUUCAUCAAGAUGAGCUCAAAUGAAAAUGACGCAAUGGAAUGAAAUGAAGUACUCGUCGAGGCGAACAAUUUGACAUAUUAUACGCACGAAACGGAGUAAUAUGCACAGAGUUAUGAUGCGAUGAAAAUGCAUAAAAAAUACUGGGAUCUGGGGACUUGGACAUAUUUCACCUAGCGGAUUAGGGUUGACCGCGGCGCGGAUCCCAAGGCGGCGGCGGAUCUCGCCGGAUCUCCGCUGGAGAAGAGGCGACGGUGGCGGGAGUUGGCCGGAUCCGGUGGAUCCCGGCGGCGGAGGGCGGCAGGGAGACGCGGAGGCCCGCGGGCAGCUCCAGUCGGCGACGGCGAAGGGGCGGCUAGCGCGGAGGAGCUCACCCGCGGCGAGGAGCUCCGGGCGGUGAGAGUCGCCGGCGGGGAGAGGUGCAGGGCAGGCGGUGGCUUCGGGAUGCUUGGGGAGCGGCGACGCGGGACGGGGUCGCCGGCGAACUAGGCACGGGCGGCGACUGGCGGCAACGGGCAGCGGGGNNNNNNNNNNNNNNNNNNNNNNNNNNNNNNNNNNNNNNNNNNNNNNNNNNNNNNNNNNNNNNNNNNNNNNNNNNNNNNNNNNNNNNNNNNNNNNNNNNNNNNNNNNNNNNNNNNNNNNNNNNNNNNNNNNNNNNNNNNNNNNNNNNNNNNNNNNNNNNNNNNNNNNNNNNNNNNNNNNNNNNNNNNNNNNNNNNNNNNNNNNNNNNNNNNNNNNNNNNNNNNNNNNNNNNNNNNNNNNNNNNNNNNNNNNNNNNNNNNNNNNNNNNNNNNNNNNNNNNNNNNNNNNNNNNNNNNNNNNNNNNNNNNNNNNNNNNNNNNNNNNNNNNNNNNNNNNNNNNNNNNNNNNNNNNNNNNNNNNNNNNNNNNNNNNNNNNNNNNNNNNNNNNNNNNNNCGGGUCCAGGACGGGCUCCGCGGGCCGCAGCGGCGGUGGGCGGCGGAGCGCCAUGUGGCGGCUCCAGAUUGGCGCGGGAGCGGCUGCAGUUUCGUCCGGCGGGCGCGGACAUGUCUGCCGGGCGAGAGGGAGGUGGAGACUAGGGUUAGGGGGAUUCAUCCGCGAAAAUGGAAGGGGAGGGACGUUUUUAUAGGUAGAGGGAGCUAGGGGAGUCCAAAUGGGGAGCGGUUUUCGGCCAUGCGAUCGUGAUCGAACGACCGAGAGCAUAGAGGGGAGUUUGCUGGGUUUUGGGCCACUUUGAAAAGGGUGUUGGGCUGCAAAGAGAGAGGGGGCUUUGCGGUUACCCGGUUAACCGUUGGAGUAUCAAACGACCUCCAAAUGGCACGAAACUUGACAGGUGGUCUACCAGCGCUAUACCAAGGCCGCUUGGCAAACCUCGGUCCAUUCCGAGAAAGUUUAACACCCACUCACAACAGGAGACAAAAGGGGGACGCCGGGGGACAUAGGAGUGCCGGAUUGCAAAACGGACAACGGGGAAAAUGCUCGGAUGCAUGAGACGAACACAUAUGCAAAAUGAGAUGCACAUGAUGACAUGAUGAAAUGCAACACGCAAGAAAAUGACAUGGCAAUGACAACGAAUAACUGGCGGACUCCUGGCGCAACGAAUCUGGGGUGUUACACAGGUGGGCCCCACGGUUACGCGCCCCGAUGGUGCAACACUAGUUGUGCCGUUUGACUGGUCAAUUGAUUGUGUCAUCAACAAAUUACGGAGUUAUAGGGGUGAGCCAGUGACAGUAUAAUCAUGACAUGUAUUUGUUUAACACGGUACAGACGCAAGGGCUCAUAUAUAUGCGCAAGCACUCACCGCUAUAAGCGCACACACACGAACCCUACCCCUAUGAGCACCUUCGAGAGAGUGGGCCAGCAUAUAUGAUCUUGAGAUUUUACGAUGUCACCAUAGGUGCCUCGUAGUCGAGUGGAACGUCUUCUCCCACUGAACGUACAUUGCCGGAAAAUACUGAAAUUAACACAAGAUAAAUGCGAGCACCGGGACUUUAACCUUGGUGGGCUCGAGAAACCACUGUCCUCUAACCAUCCAACCACAUGUUGGUUAGCACGACAAAAUGUAUGUGGUGACCGUGAUGAGCUUAUUCUGAAGUCCAACGACCAUAUCGUGCUUUCGCUUCAAAUACAAUGACCGUAAGUGUCGUCAACAAAAUACAGAGCACGCAUCAAAUGCAAAGUCCGUCAGUGUCAUCAACAAAAUAUGAAGACGUAUCAUGAGCUAGAUACCGUUGUACUAUUGUAUAUGCUUAUUUUCUUAGUGGCCGAUUGUGUGUGUGGUGUGAUGGGCACAUCAUUUCUAGUUGUGGUGGGUCAACAUGAAGACUCAUGGGACGGUUCCAUCCUGCGCCACAUAUAGGUUGGACCGAGACGUGUUAUACGGAGACCCAUGUGGAGGACUCGGCAUACAACACGAAGCUACCAGAGUCGCGGAGGACUCUAUCCCCAUUGGUGAUAAGCCAACUACAUAUGAUUUGUAACCCUAGGCCCUUAGUAUGUUAUACAAGCUUGGGGGCUAGUUCGUCGAUAGUAUACACACACGCACAAUGCCUGGUAUUCACGUGUACUUUGUACACACCCCUAUCACUAAUAUACAGUACCAGGAGUAGGCUCUUCCUUCAACUGCGAGGGUCCGAUCCGAACUAGGGUAAAACUUUGCCUCGUAUUACCAUCCAGCCUAACAGCCAGGGAUAUCCUACCAAAUGAUAUGAUGAAAUCAUAUCUACCNNNNNNNNNNNNNNNNNNNNNNNNNNNNNNNNNNNNNNNNNNNNNNNNNNNNNNNNNNNNNNNNNNNNNNNNNNNNNNNNNNNNNNNNNNNNNNNNNNNNNNNNNNNNNNNNNNNNNNNNNNNNNNNNNNNNNNNNNNNNNNNNNNNNNNNNNNNNNNNNNNNNNNNNNNNNNNNNNNNNNNNNNNNNNNNNNNNNNNNNNNNNNNNNNNNNNNNNNNNNNNNNNNNNNNNNNNNNNNNNNNNNNNNNNNNNNNNNNNNNNNNNNNNNNNNNNNNNNNNNNNNNNNNNNNNNNNNNNNNUGUGCGAGAGAGGCUUAAACAUAAUGUGCGUGCGGGAGACACGUAGGCACAUAUAUGUGCGUAUAGAGGGCUAGUAGAGACCGUGCAUGUGUAUAUAUGCAUGUGAGAGAAAUAGUGUUUUCCAACUGAGAUUAGUGAAAAGAGUGGUACAUAGUAGUCAGAAAGAAAGAGAGAGAGAGAAACAGAGAGAGCAUAUGCGUGAGACACCCCGACACCCUGAGAGAGAUUGUGAGCAUGUGUGAAAGAGAAAUGCCGAUGCAUAUAAAGUGUGUGCACUUCUGCAUUAGAUAGAGAGAUAUAUAACACGUUUGUGAGAACAGGGCAAGGCAUAGUGCAUCUACGUGUAAAAGGAGGUUCUACGCAUUAAAUUAAAAUAUAAAUGGCAUUAUUAUUUUUGGAUGAGAUCAUGAAUUUUGCAAAAUUGCGUAUGGACGAAAAUCGGUCUAUCAGACACCCAUACUCUAUUGAAUUCUAGCAUGUGCAUGUGUUUAUUUCAUAUUAUCGAUCCAUAGAGUGAGAGCGGUUUGAAAUAUAGGCAAUGGAUGCUUUUGCAAUUCAUAUAUAAACAUUAAUUAGUGCACUCCAUGUUGUUAGUGUGAAGCACUUUAUACAUUUGUCACUUGCAUGGAUACAUUCCAAAUUGCUAGCUACGAAAUAAAAUACAUGUCGAAUUCAACAUAAAGGGGGUUUCGAAGAUUCGAAUUCAUAGGAAGUGCAUUCAUUUAUUUGAACCCGAGAUAAUGGCAUUUGUAAAUCAGAUGUAAAAGGGGGCAUCAAUCUUUGUUGUGAGUUUGAACAUGCUAUAUAUAUUCAUACGCAUAUCUAACUUUUUUUUGCAACCAAGGAGAUUAUAUCUGGAACCAUGCAUGAACUAUGGUAAGUUGCAUAUUUUUUAAUAUAUACUCAUGUACAAUGUAUAUUAAAAUGUACCCCCUCCAUUCCAAAAUAAUCGUAGCCUUAGGAUUUCCAAGAGUAAAGAUUUGUGAAGUUUGACAAAUCCUGAAAGUUCAAUUCAAGAGAACCGAAAACGUUAAUGCUUCUGCUCCCAAAUAUUGAACGAAGCGCCAAAUAGGCCUCUGGUCACCCGAAACCGCGCGAGACUAAUGUUUUGGUGGUAGGAAAUUACUGUCCUGACUCUGGCCCGUGUAGCCUAUCGGCCCGAUGUCCAAAGGUCUAAACCGGAGUAGGUUUGUAACUUCACCAAGACGCCAGUCUCAACCGCCUCCGAGAAGCAUUCAUACACAGUGGGCGCCUAAACACGCACGCGCUCGGCCGAAAUCUAUCCCGCCCACAUUUGGGACACCUGACAUGACUAUCCUACCCCCAACCCGCAAUAUGUCCGAAAUUUUAGAUGGGGGCAAAGUUUGUAACUUUCCCCAAAUUUCAAACAAGCGCGUCUCAAACUGAAACAUUGUUCCCCCUUAGUUCCCCGCCUCCCUCAGUUUCCCCAUUCAUACUCCGUGGGCGCGAAAAUGCCCUCUCCACCAGCCGCGAAACCCCAGCCUCCUCCGUCCUCCACCCCAUAGCGGCCAAUCCACCGCCGCCCUCCUCCAUCACGCAGGAGCCGGUACCCCGACAUCAUCGUCCAACGCAACCGCAAUGCCCUCAAGGACUUAGCAGCUGAAGCCGAGGCAGAGCUGCCUCCACGACGCCGACGCCGACGUGCGCCGUACCAGAACCACUCCGACCACGCCGUCCUGCACCUCACUACUGCGGCUCCACUGUCGCAACCGUCCACCGCACCAGAGCUGUUCCCACUAUGCUGUCAUUCGCUGCCUCGGAUCUGCUUCCCCGCCGCCGACAGACGGCCACCGCACCACGCUCAACAACUUGGCCAUGGGUUCGUCCAAGGCUGCACCGUCCUCCACAACUUCUGGUUUUCGGCGAACAACAAGAAUAUCGGAAACACAGAAGGAGGACACAGCACUGCCAGUAGAAGAGGUACUCCUCUUCCCUUAUUCGUGCAAAUCUUACGUCUCCGCUCACACCGUAUUCAUCCCACGAAAGAAACUAGUUGAGUGCUUCUUACUGCAUCUUCUUCGUGAUACUAAAUGCACAAGGUUUCCUCCCUUUUACUAUUUCACCUUUGCUAGAGGUCAGUAGCCCGCCUGGAUUUCACUUCAGGGUCAGUCGAACCACAAUUAAAAGAAGCAGCACCUGCUUAGGCGCGCGGAGCACCUAGUCCGCCUGUUCCCCGGGGAAGCGGCGCAUCGGUGUCUAUCAUAGGGGUGUGGGGCGCAGGAGCUGCUUGCGCCCGAUAUGGAGGUCGACGGGGCNNNNNNNNNNNNNNNNNNNNNNNNNNNNNNNNNNNNNNNNNNNNNNNNNNNNNNNNNNNNNNNNNNNNNNNNNNNNNNNNNNNNNNNNNNNNNNNNNNNNNNNNNNNNNNNNNNNNNNNNNNNNNNNNNNNNNNNNNNNNNNNNNNNNNNNNNNNNNNNNNNNNNNNNNNNNNNNNNNNNNNNNNNNNNNNNNNNNNNNNNNNNNNNNNNNNNNNNNNNNNNNNNNNNNNNNNNNNNNNNNNNNNNNNNNNNNNNNNNNNNNNCGGUGAGGUCGAGGGGAGGGCGCAGGCAGGGGAGGAAUACUGGGCUGGUGGUCGCUGGCAUUUCGAGGAAGAUCAUCAACACUGACUGGCUGGGGGUAGAUGAAGGCGAUCUGCCCGUUCUUUGUACAUCGGACGGUGCAGAAAAAAUGGACUGACCUAUUUGCUUUCAGUCGACUGUUAUUUUCAUAGAAUCCUGUAGUAAUUGAGUGUGCCAUGCAUGUUGUAGAGCUAUCAUAUGUCUCCCGUCAUUUAUUUCUCACCGACCUGCUAUCUGCUACCUUUACACUGUACUAAUUGUGCACACACUUCACCCAUACUCACACUAAUUUUUUUUAUGCAUGGGUAUUUCAGACUCUGACGCAGUGUUGAUGAAUGCAGAAAAGAAAAGACAGAAGUUGCUCCAGUGUAAUUCGAAGAUAAGCACUAAGUGUUUCAGCGCUCUAAUGGGUGCAGUGUCAGCAGUUGGACACAGUAAACGUAGCUCUGCAGUUGAUGAUCUCAAUUGCCACACACAACCAUCCCAGGUGCUUGCUUUAACUUUGCACUGUCAAAUGUAUUUGUAUGUUGCAUAUGGUGUCUAGCUUGUAUUGCUUCCAAUUUGGGUAAAUUGCAUCGCUUACUUUACACAUUAUACCUUUGAUAAUGACAUGCCUUCCUGUUUUUGAUACAUACUACAUAUGUCUAUUAACCAUGUUCGUACAUCAAACUAAUGCUCUUUUGUAUCCCUCGUCAAUCACUUAUGAUGAGACAGUCACCCGGGUGGGUUACUGUGAGACGCCCUACUCGUUUAAAGAGUGCAGUGUCAUCCUUCCCACAUGAUUCUCAAGAAACAACAAGGCUAAAUGAAGAUAGUCAACGUAGCUCUCUAGUUGAUCACUGCAAUUCCCCCACACCACCAUCGCAGGUGCUUGCUCUUACUUGGCAGUGUGAUAUGUGGUUGCGUGUUGCAUAUGGUGUCUACCUUGUAAUGCUUCUAAUUAGGGUAAAUUGCAUCUGCUUAGUUAACACAUUAUACCUGUGAAUAUGACAUGCCUUCCUGUUUUUGGUACAUACUACGUCUUUCUAUUAACCAUGUUCCUACAUCAAACUACUUUUCUUGUGUAUCCCUCAUCAAUGCUCCUAAUUUGUUAAAUUGCAUCUCCUUAGCUUACACAUUAUACAUGUGAAUAUGACACGCCUUCCUGUUUUUGGUACAUACUACAUCUGCCUAUCACACCAUGUUCUUACAUUAAACUACUGUUCUUGUGUAUCCCGCGUCUAUCGCUUAUGAUGAGACAGUCACGCACGUGGGUUAAUAUGAGGCGCAAUACUCUUAUAAAGAAUGCAAUUUCAUCCUCUCCACAUGAUUCUCAAGAAACAGCAAGCCUAAAUGAAGAUAUUGAACGUUGCUCUGUACCUGAAGACAGCACUUCCCCUACACCACCAUCACAGGUGCUUGCUCCAACUUCGCAGUGUGAUAUGUGGUUGCAUGUUGCAUACGAUGUCUAGCUUGUAAUGCUUCUAAUUAGGGUAAAUUGCAUCUGCUUAGUUUACACACUAUACUUGUGAAUAUGACAUGCCUUCCUAUUUUUGAUACACACUACAUCUAUGUGUUAACCUUGUUCUUACAUGAAACUACCUCUCUUCUGUAUCCUGCAUCAAUCACUUACGAUGAGUCACCUUUAUUCGUUGCAUAUUGCAUAUUAUUUCUAGCCUGUUGCCAUGUAUUGCUUAUAAUUUGGUCAAAUACAUUUGUUAGGGCACCCUUUUAAUUUGGCAGAGUGAUAUUGGUUUCAUCUUUCAUAUGGUUUCUAGCUUGUAUCGAUUCUAACAAGUUUAAGCACCUUGUGCUUAGUUUACACUUUAUACAUCAUACAUGUCAAUAUGUCACGCCGUCGUGUUUUUCAUACAUAUUCCAUCCUCCUAUCAUGCGGCUGCCUUACAUUAAAGUAGUGUUCAUCAGUAUCAUGCAUCAAUAAGUUCUGAAGAGCAAAUUUUAUUCCUUUUUCUUGUGGGUUUGACUUGAUAAGGCAAAAUCAAGAAAGAGGAAGGAAAAUAGUAAGGAAGGCGAUGAUGGUGGUCCUCUGUAGCAACGUAAACAGAGCAUCUGUACCGAUUCUCCUUGUACUGAUAGUGCAUUACAAGGUCCAAGUCUCCGCUCCCCUACUCCACCAUCCAAGGUGCUUGUUCUAACUUAGCAGUGUGAUAUCUGGUUGCAUGUUGCAUAUGGUGUCUAGCUCGUAUUGCUCCUAAUUACUGUAAACUGCAUCUGCUUAGCUUACACAUGAUACAUGUGAAUAUGACACGCUUUCCUGUUUUUUGCACAUACUAUAUCUGUCUAUCACACCAUGUUCUUACAUGAAACUACUCUUCUUGUGUAUCCUGCAUCAGUCACUUAUGAUGGGACACCUUUAAGUUGGCAGUGUGAUAUUGGUUUGCAUCUUGAAUAUGAUUUCUAGCAUGUAUUGCUUCUAGUUUGAUGAACACCACCUACGACGAGACAGUUUUAACUUGGCAGAGUGAUAUUGAUUGCACCUUCCAUAUGGUGUCUUGCAGUGUUUCUAAUUUGUUGAAGUGCCUUCUGCUUAGUUACCACAUCAUAGGUGUGAAUAUGUCAAGCCGACCAUUUUUUCGUACAUAUUCCAUCCUCGUAUCAUGACUUUGCCUUUCAUCAGAGUAGUGUUCGUCAGUAUCAUGCAUGAAUGAGUUCUGAAGAGCGAAUGAUAUUCCUUUUUCUUGUCGGUAUGACCUCACAAUGCAAAAUCAAUAAAGCUGAAGGAAAUUGGCAAGACAUUGAAUGAUGGUGGUCCUUCCAAGCAACUGAAACGGAGGUUCUCUACAUAUUCUACUCCGCCAUCCUCCCAACAAGAUUCAUAAGACAAUGCAAGGCUAGACAGUCAACGUAGCUGUGUAGAUGAUGAGCACAUCUCCACUACUCCACCAUCACAGGUGCUUGCUCUAACUUGGCACUAUUAUAUGUGGUUGCAUGUUGCGUAUGAUGUCUAGCUUGUAUUGCUCCUAACUUUGUUGAAUUGCAUCUGCUUACUUUACACAUAAUGCCUGUGAAUAUGACAUGUGUUCCUGUUUCUACAUCAGACUACUAUUCUUGCAUAUCCCGCAUCAGUCACUUAUGAUAAGGCACCUUUAAGUUGCCACUGUGAUAUUGGUUGUGUCUUGCAUAUGAUUUCUAGCAUAUACUGCUUCUAAUUUUUUGAAACGCCAUACAGUUUGAACUUGGCACAGUGAUAUUGGUUGCAUCUUUCAUAUGAUGUCUAGCUUGCAGUGCUUCUAAUUUGUUGAAAUGCCUUCUGCUUAGUUACCACAUCAUAGGUGUGAAUAUGUCACACCAUCCUGUUUUUCAUACAUAUUCCAUCCUCGCAUCAUGUGUUUGCCUUUCAUCCGAGUAGUGUUCGUCAGUAUCAUGCAUGAAUGAGUUCUGAAGAGCGAAUUUUAUUCCUUUUUCUUAUCGGUUUGACUUCACAAUGCAAAAUCAUUACAACUGAAGGAAAUUAGUCCGGCAGUGGAUGAUAGUGGUCCUUCGGAGCAAGUCAAAUAGGGGGUCUCUACAGAUUCUACUCUGCCAUCCUCCCAACAAGAUUCGUAAGACAACACAAGGCUGGACAGUCAAUGUAGCUGUGUAGAUGAUGAGCACAUCUCCCCUACUGCACCAUCACAGGUGCUUGCUCUAACUUGACACUAUUAUAUGUGGUUGCAUGUUGUGUAUGAUGUCUAGCUUGUAUUGCUUCUAACUUGAAUUGCAUCUGCUUACUUUAUACAUAAUGCCUGUGAAUAUGACACGUGUUCCUGUUUCUAGAACAUACGUGUACAUGAUGAUCACAUCUCCCCUACUCCACCAUCACAGGUGCUUGCUCUUACUUGGAACUCUUAUACGUGGUUGCGUUUUCUGUAUGAUGUCUAGUUUGUAUUGCUUCUGAUUAUGUAGAAUUGCAUCUGCGUAGCUUACAACUUAUACCUGCAACGAUCACUUACCCAUAAUACACAUUUAACUUGGGACUGUGAUGUAGGUUGCAUCUUGCAUUGUCUUCUAGCUUGUACUGGUUCUUGUUGGAAAUAUGCCCUAGAGGCAAUAAUAAAAUGGUUAUUAUUAUAUUUCCUUGUUCAUGAUAAUUGUCUAUUGUUCAUGCUAUAAUUGUAUUAACUGGAAACCGUAAUACAUGUGUGAAUACAUAGACCACAACAUGUCCCUAGUGAGCCUCUAGUUAACUAGCUCGUUGAUCAAAUAGAUGGUUAUGGUUUCCUGACCAUGGAUAUUGGAUGUCAUUGAUAACGGGAUCACAUCAUUAGGAGAAUGAUGUGAUGGACAAGACCCAAUCCUAAGCAUAGCACAAGAUCGUGUAGUUCGUUUGCUAAAAGCUUUUCUAAUGUCAAGUAUCAUUUCCUUAGACCAUGAGAUUGUGCAACUUCCGGAUACCAUAGGAAUGCUUUGGGUGUGCCAAACGUCACAACAUAACUGGGUGGCUAUAAAGGUUCACUACGGGUAUCUCCAAAAGUGUCUGUUGGGUUGGCACGAAUUGAGACUGGGAUUUGUCACUCCGUGUGACGGAGAGGUAUCUCUGGGCCCACUCGGUAAUGCAUCAUCAUAAUGAGCUCAAUGUGACUAAGUAGUUAGUCACGGGAUCAUGCAUUACGGAACGAGUAAAGUGACUUGCCGGUAACGAGAUUGAACGAGGUAUUGGGAUACCGAUGAUCGAAUCUCGGGCAAGUAAUGUAUCGAUUGACAAAGGUAAUUGUAUACGGGAUUGCUUGAAUCCUUGACAUCGUGGUUCAUUCGAUGAGAUCAUCGUGGAACAUGUGGGAGCCAACAUGGGUAUCUAGUUCCCGCUGCUGGUUAUUGGCUAGAGAGCUAUCUCGGUCAUGUCUGCAUGAUUCCCGAACCCGUAGGGUCUACACACUUAAGGUUCAGUGACGCUAGAGUUGUUAUGGGAAUUAGUGUGCAGUUACCGAAUGUUGUUUGGAGUCCCGGAUGAGAUCCCGGACAUCACGAGGAGUUCCAGAAUGGUCCGGAGGUAAAGAUUUAUAUAUGGGAAGUCCUAUUUUGGCCACUGGAAAAUGUUCGGGAUUUUUCGGUAUUGUACCGGGAAGGUUCUAGAAGGUUCUGGAGUGGGGCCCACCUGCAUGGGGGGACCCACAUGAACUUGGGUAGUGGGGGAAAGGCCCCACACCCCUAGUCAAGGCGCACCAAGAUCCCCCCUUAGAAGGAAUAAGAUCAUAUCCCGAAGGGAUAAGAUCAAGAUUCCUAAAAAGGGGGAUAACAAUCGGUGGGGAAGGAAAUGAUGGGAUUUCUUUCCUUCCACCUUUGCCAACGCCCCAAUGGACUUGGAGGGCAAGAAACCAGCCCCCUCCACCCCUAUUUAUAGUGUGGAGGUGCAUGGAAGCUUGACCCUUCCCCUGACGCAGCCCUUUCCCUCCCCAACACCUCCUCCUCCUCCGUAGUGCUUGGCGAAGCUCUACCGAAGAACUGCAAGCUCCACCACCAUGCCAUCGUGCUGCCGGAGCUCUCCCUCAACUUCUCCUCUCACCUUGCUGGAUCAAGAAGGAGGAUACGUCCCCGGGCUGUACGUGUGUUGAACGCGGAGGCACCGUUGUUCGGUGCUUAGAUCGGAUUCGGCCGCGAUCUGAAUCGCUUAGUGAACGACUCCACCGACCGCGUUCUUGCAAUGCUUCCGCAUCGCGAUCUUCAAAGGUAUGAAGAUGCACUCCCCUCUCUCUCGUUGGUAGUUACUCCAUAGAUUGAUCUUGGUGAUGCGCAGAAAAUUUUGAAUUUCUGCUACGUUCCCCAACAGUGGCAUCAUGAGCUAGGUCUAUGCAUAGUUUCUAUGCACGAGUAGAACACAAGUUUUUGUGGGCGUCGAUUUCGUAAAUUUACUUGCCGUUAUUAGUCUUAUCUUGAUUCGGCGGCAUCGUGGGAUGAAGCGGCCCGGACCGACCUUACACGUAUGCUUACGUGAGACAGGUUCCACCGACUGAUAUGCACUAGUUGCAUAAGGUGGCUAGCGGGUGUCUGUCUCUCCCACUUUAGUCGGAUCAGAUUCGAUGAAAAGGGUCCUUGUGAAAGUUAAAUAGUAAUUGGCAUAACACGUUGUGGUUUUGGCGUAGGUAAGAAACGUUCUUGCUAGAAACCUAUAGCAACCAUGUAAAAAGUUGCAACAACAAUUAGAGGACGUCUAACUUGUUCUUGCACCAUAUGUCGUGUGAUGUGAUAUGGCCAAAAGGAUGUGAUGAAUGAUAUAUAUGUGAUGUAUGAGAUUGAUCAUGUUCUUGUAAUAGGAAUCACGACUUGCAUGUCGAUGAGUAUGACAACCGGCAGGAGCCAUAGGAGUUGUCUUAAUUUAUUGUAUGACCUGCUUGUCAUUGAAUAACGCCAUGUAAUUACUUUACUUUAUUGCUACACUGUCAGCCAUAGUAGUAGAAGUAAUAGUUUGCGAGACAACUUCAUGAAGACACAAUGAUGGAGAUCAUGGUGUCAUGCCGGUGACAAUGAUGAUCAUGGCGCCCCGAAGAUGGAGAUCAAAAGGAGCAAAAUGAUAUUGGCCAUAUCAUGUCACUAUUUGAUUACAUGUGAUGUUUAUCAUGUUUUUACAUCUUAUUUGCUUAGAACGACGGUAUCAUAAAUAAGAUGAUCCCUCGCUAAAAUUUCAAGAAAGUGUCCCCCUAACUGUGCACCGUUGCGAAGGUUCAUUGUUUCGAAGCACCACAUGAUGAUCGGGUGUGAUAGAUUCUAACGUUCUAAUACAACGGGUGUAAGCCAGAUUUACACAAGCAAAACACUUAGGUUGACUUGAUGAGCCUAGCAUGUACAGACAUGGCCUCGGAACACAAGAGACCGAAAGGUCGAACAUGAGUCAUAUAGCAGAUGCGAUCAACAUGAAGAUGUUCACCGAUGAUGACUAGUCCGUCUCACGUGAUGAUCGGACACGGCCUAGUUGACUCGGAUCAUGUAUCACUUAGAUGACUAGAGGGAUGUCUAUCUAAGUGGGAGUUCAUUAAAUAAUCAGAUCAUGAACAUAGUCAAAAGGUCUUUGCAAAUUAUGUCAUAGCCUACGCUUUAGUUCUACUGUUUUAAGAUAUGUUCCUAGAGAAAAUUUAGUUGAAAGUUGACAGUAGCAAUUAUGCGGACUGGGUCCGUAUACUGAGGAUUGUCCUCAUUGCUGCAUAGAAGGCUUAUGUCCUUAAUGCACCGCUCGGUGUGCUGAACCUCGAGCGUCGUUUGUGGAUGUUGCGAACAUCUGACAUACACGUUUUGAUGACUACGUGAUAGUUCAGUGCGUAAUGUUAAAUGGUUUAGAAUUGAGGUAGCGAAGACAUUUUUUGAAACGUUGCAGAACAUAUGAGAUGUUCCAAGAGCUGAAAUUAGGAUUUUAGGCUCGUGCCCACGUCAAGAGGUAUGAGACCUCCGACAAGUUUCUUAACCUGCAAACUAAGGGAGAAAAGCUCAAUCAUUGAGCAUGUGCUCAGAUUUUCUGAGUACUACAAUCACUUGAACUAUAACAUAUCAGGGAUAGACAUGAUGAUCCUUGAGCAAUUCGCGAUGUUUGACACCGCGAAAGUAGAAAUCGAGUAGGAGCAUCAAUUGUUGAUGGUUAGUAAAACCACUAGUUUCAAGAAGGGGAAGGGCAAGAAGGGAUACUUCAUGAGACGACAAAUCAGUUGCUGCUCUAGUGAAGAAACCCAAGGUUGAACCCAAACCCGAGACUAAGUGCUUCUGUAAUGAGGGGAACGGUCACUGAAGCAGAACUACCCUAGAUACUUGGUAGAUGAGAAGGCUGGCAAGGUCGACAGAAGUAUAUUGGAUAUACAAUAUAUUAAUGUGUAUUUUACUAGUACUCCUAGUAGCACCAGGGUAUUAGAUACCGGUUCGGUUGCUAAGUGUUAGUAACUCGAAAUAAAAGAGCUACGGAAUAAACGGAGACUAGCUAAAGGUGAGAUGACGAUGUGUGUUGGAAGUGUUUCCAAGGUUGAUAUGAUCAAGCAUCGCAUGCUCCCUCUACCAUCGAGAUUGGUGUUAAACCUAAAUAAUUGUUAUUUGGUGUUUGCGUUGAGCAUAGACAUGAUUGGAUUAUGUUUAUCGCAAUACAGUUAUUCAUUUAAGGAGAAUAAUGGUUACUCUGUUUAUUUGAAUAAUACCUUCAAUGGUCUUGCACCUAAGUGAAUGGUUUAUUGAAUCUCGAUCGUAGUGAUACACAUGUUCAUGCCAAAAUAUAUAAGAUAGUAAUGAUAGUACCACAUACUUGUGGCACUGCUGUUUGAGUCAUAUUGGUAUAAAACGCAUGAAGAAGCUCCAUGUUGAUGGAUCUUCGGACUCACUCGUUUUUGAAAAGAUUGAGACAUGCGAACCAUGUCUAUUGGUACAUGUGCAUGAAGAAACUCCAUACAGAUGGAUCGUUUGGACUCACUUGAUUGUGAAUCACUUGAGACAUGCAAGUCAUACCACAUGGGCAAGAUGACUGAAAGGCCUCGUUUUCAGUAAGAUGGAACAAGAAAGCAACUUGUUGGAAGUAAUACAUUUUAAUGUGUGCAGUCCAAUGAGUGCUGAGGCACGCAGUGAAUAUCGUUAUUCUCUUACUUCACAGAUGAUUUGAGUAGAUUCUAAGUAUAUUUACUUGAUGAAACACAAGUCUGAAUUAUUGAAAGGUUCAAGCAAUUUCAGAGUGAAGUUGAAGAUCAUCGUGGCAAGAGGAUAAAAUGUCUAUGAUAUGAUCAUAGAGAUGAAUAUCUGAGUUAUGAGUUUGGUACACAAUUAAGACCUUGUGGAAAUUGUUUCACAACUAAUACCGCCUGGAACACCAUAGUGUGAUGGUGUGUUCGAACAUCAUAGCUGCACCCUAUUGGAUAUGGUGCAUACCAUGAUGUCUCUUAUCGAAUUACCACUAUCGUUUAUAGGUUAGGCAUUAGAGACAACCGCAUUCACUUUAAAUAGGGCACCACAUAAUUCCUUUGAGAUGACACCGUAUGAACUAUGAUUUAGAGAAACCUAAGCUGUCAUUUGUUAAAAGUUUGGGGCUGUGACGCUUAUGUGAAAAGUUUUGCCUGAUAAGCUCGAACCCAAAGCGGAUAAAAUGCAUCUUCAUAGGACACCCAAAAACAGUUGGGUAUACCUCCUAAUUCAGAUCCGGAAGCAAAAGUGAUUGUUUCCACAAACGGUUCCUUUCUCGAGGAAAAGUUUCUCUUGAAAGAAUUGAGUGGGAGGAUGGUGGAGACUUGAUGAGGUUAUUGAACCAUCACUCCAACUAGUGUGUAGCAGGGCACAAGAAGUUGUUCCAAUGGCGCCUACACCAAUUGAAGUGGAACCUAAUGAUAGUGAUCAUGAAACUUCAUAUCAAGUCACUACCAAACCUCAUAGAUCGACAAGGAUGCGUACUACUUCAGAGUGGUACGUAAUCCUGUCUUAGAGGUCAUGUUGCUAGACAACAAUGAACCUACGAGCUAUGGAGAAGCGAUGGUGGGCCCAGAUUCCAACAAAUGGCUCGAGGCCAUAAAAUCCGAGAGAGGAUCAUGUAUGAAAACAAAGUAUAGACUUUGGAAGAACUACUCGAUGGUCGUAAGGCUGUUGAGUACAAAUGGAUUUUAAAAGGAAGACAGACAAUGGUGGUAAGUGUCACCAUUAAGAAAGCUCGACUUGUCGCUAAGAUGUUUCCGACAAGUUCAAGGAGUUGACUACGAUGAGACUUUCUCACUCGUAGCGAUGCUAAGAGUCUGUUGGAAUUAUAUUAGCAGUUACUGCAUUAUUUAUGAAAUCUUGCAGAUAGGAUGUCAAAAACAUUGUUUCCUCAACGAUUUUCUUGAGGAAAGGUUGUAUGUGAUACAACUAGAAGGUUUUGAUAAUCCUGAAAGAUGCUAACAAGUAUGCAAAGCUCCAGCAGUCCUUCUAAGGCUGGAGUAAGCAUCUCGGAGUUGGAAUAUACGCUUUGAUGAGAUGAUCAAAGAUUUUGGGUUUAUACAAAGUUUAUGAGAAACUUAUAUUUCCAAAGAAGUGAGUGGGAGCACUAUAGAAUUUCUGAUGAGUAUAUAUUGUUGACAUAUUGUUGAUCAGAAAUGAUGUAGAAUUUCUGGAAAGCAUAUAGGGUUAUUUGAAAAGUGAUUUUCAAUGGAAAACCUGGAUUAAGCUACUUGAACAUUGAGCAUCAAGAUCUAUAAGAAUAGAUCAAAAUGCUUAAUAGUACUUUCAAAUGAACACAUACCAUGAGAAGAUUUUGAAGGAGUUCAAAAUAGAUCGGCUAAGAAGGAGUUCUUGGCUGUAAGGUGUGAGUAUCGAGUAAGACUCAAGACCUGACCACGGCAAAAGAGAGAUAAAGGACGAAGGUUGUCCCCUAUGCUUUAGACGAAGGCUCCACAAUAUACUAUGCUGUGUACCGCACCUGAAGUGUGCCUUGCCAUGAGUCGGUCAAGGGGUACAAGUGUGAUCCAGGAAUGCAUCACAGCACAGUGGUCAAGGUUAUCCUUAGUAACUAGUGGACUAAAGAAUUUUCUCGAUAACGGAGGUGGUAAAAGAGUUCGUCGUAAACGGUUACGCCGAUGCAAACUUUGACACUAAUCUGGAUGACUCUGAGUAGUAAACCGGAUUCGUAUAGUAGAGCAGUUAUUUGGAAUAGUUCCAAAUAGCGCGUGGUAGCUGCAUCUAGGAGAUGACAUAGAGAUUUGUAAAGCACACACGGAUCUGAAAGAUUCAGACCCAUUGACUAAUAACCUCUCUCACAAGCGAUAUAUGAUCAAACCUAAUGGGUGUUGGAUUCAUUACAAUCACAUAGUGAUGUGAACUAGAUUAUUGACUCUAGUGCAAGUGGGAGACUGUUGUAAAUAUGCCCUAGAGGCAAUAAUAAAAUAUUUAUUAUUAUAUUUCGUUGUUCAUGAUAAUUGUCUAUUGUUCAUGCUAUAAUUGUAUUAACUGGAAACCGUAAUACAUGUGUGAAUACAUAGACCACAACAUGUCCCUAGUGAGCCUCUAGUUAACUAGCUCGUUGAUCAAAUAGAUGGUUAUGGUUUCCUGACCAUGGACAUUGGAUGUCAUUGAUAACGGGAUCACAUCAUUAGGAGAAUGAUGUGAUGGACAAGACCCAAUCCUAAGCAUAACACAAGAUCGUGUAGUUCGUUUGCUAAAAGCUUUUCUAAUGUCAAGUAUCAUUUCCUUAGGCCAUGAGAUUGUGCAACUUCCGGAUACCGUAGGAAUGCUUUGGGUGUGCCAAGUGUCACAACGUAACUGCGUGGCUAUAAAGGUGCACUACGGGUAUCUCCGAAAGUGUCUGUUGGGUUGGCACGAAUCGAGACUGGGAUUUGUCACUCCGUGUGACGGAGAGGUAUCUCUGGGCCCACUCGGUAAUGCAUCAACAUAAUGAGCUCAAUGUGACUAAGUAGUUAGUCACGGGAUCAUGCAUUACGGAACGAGUAAAGUGACUUGCCGGUAACGAGAUUGAACGAGGUAUUGGGAUACCGACGAUCGAAUCUCGGGCAAGUAACAUACCGAUUGACAAAGGGAAUUGUAUACGGGAUUGCUUGAAUCCUUGACAUCGUGGUUCCUCCAAUGAGAUCAUCGUGGAACAUGUGGGAGCCAACAUGGGUAUCCAGAUCCCGUUGUUGGUUAUUGGCCAGAGAGCUGUCUCGGUCAUGUCUGCAUGAUUCCCGAACCCGCAGGGUCUACACACUUAAGGUUCGGUGACGCUAGAGUUGUUAUGGGAAUUAGUGUGCAGUUACUGAAUGUUGUUGGAAGUCCCGGAUGAGAUCCCGGACGUCACGAGGAGUUCCAUAAUGGUCCGGAGGUAAAGAUUUAUAUAUGGGAAGUCCUAUUUUGGCCACCGGAAAAUGUUUGGGAUUUUUCGGUAUUGUACCGGGAAGGUUCUAGAAGGUUCCGGAGUGGGGCCCACCUGCAUGGGGGGACCCACAUGAAUGUGGGUAGUGGGGGAAAGGCCCCACACCCCUGGUCAAGGUGCACCAAGAUCUCCCCUUAGAAGGAAUAAGAUCAUAUCCCGAAGGGAUAAGAUCAAGAUCCCUAAAAAGGGGGAUAACAAUCAGUGGGGAAGGAAUUGAUGGGAUUUCUUUCCUCCCACCUUUGCCAACGCCCCAAUGGACUUGGAGGGCAAGAAACCAGCCCCCUUCACCCCUAUUUACAGUGGGGAGGCGCAUGGGAGCUUGACCCUUCCCCUGGCGCAGCCCUCUCCCUCCCCAACACCUCCUCCUCCUCCGUAGUGCUUGGCGAAGCUUUGCCGGAGAACUGCAAGCUCCACCACCAUGCCGUCGUGUUGCCGGAGCUCUCCCUCAACUUCUCCUCUCCCCUUGCUGGAUCAAGAAGGAGGAGACGUCCCCGGGCUGUACGUGUGUUGAACGCGGAGGCACCGUUGUUCGGUUCUUAGAUCGGAUUCGGCCGCGAUCUGAAUCACUUAGUGAACGACUCCACCGACCGCGUUCUUGCAACGCUUCUGCAUCGCAAUCUUCAAAGGUAUGAAGAUGCACUCCCCUCUCUCUCGUUGCUAGUUACACCAUAGAUUGAUCCUGGUGAUGUGUAGAAAAUUUUGAAUUUCUGCUACGUUCCCCAACACUUCUAAUUUCUUGAAAUGGCACUUACGACGAGACACUUUUUACCUGAUAGAGUGAUAAUGGUUGCAUGUUCAUAUGGUGCCUAGCUUUCAUUUCUUCUAAUUUUGUUGAAAUGCCUUCCGCUUACUGUUUUUUCAUACAUAUUCCAUCCUCCUAUCGUACGUGUGAAUAUGAGACGCUAUCUUUUUUUGUAUAUAUUCCAUCCUCCUAUCCCGCGCUUGCCUUACAUCAAAGUAGUGUUCGUCUGUAUCAUGCAUCAACCAGUUAUGCAGAGCUAAUUUUAUUCAUCUUCUUGUGGUUUUGACUUCACAAGGCAAUAUCAGAAAAUAGGAAGGAAAAGAGUAAGUUAGGGGAUGUUGGUGGUACUCCGCACCGACGCAAACAGAGACUCUCUAGAUUUGCCACUGCUACUGCUAAUGAAGUUGAAGUCCCAAAGCUACAUGAUGAGUUCAUCUCCCACACUCCACCAUCGCAGGUGCUUUCUCUAAGUUGACAGUGUGAUAAUUGGUUUCAUGUUGCAUAUGUUGUCUAGCCUGUAUUUCUUCUAUUUUGAUUAAAUUGCACCUGCUGAGUUUAUACGUUAUACAUGUGCAUAUGACAUGGCUUUCUGUGUCUAGAAUACACUGCAUCUAUCUAUCAUACCAUGUUCUUACAUCAAAGUACUGCUGUUGUGUAUCCUGCAUCAGUAACUCAUGAUUGGAUGCUUUUAACAUGGCAGUUUGAUAGUGGUUGCAUCUUGCACUGAUUUCUACGUUGUACUGCUUCUAAUUUUUCGAAUUGCCACUUAUGACAAGACACUUUUAACUUGGCAGAGUAAUAUUGGUUGCAUCUUUCAUAUGGUGUCUAGCUUGCAUUACUUCUAUUUUCUUGAAAAUCCUUCUGCUUAGUUUGCACAUCGUAGCUGUGAAUAUGUCAUGUCGUCCUGUUUUUCUUACAUAUUCCAUCCUCAUACAGUUGUCUUACAUCAAAGUAUUGCUUGUCUGUAUCAUGCAUCAAUGAGUUCUGAAGAGUGAUUUUAUUCUUUUGUGUUGUGGGUACAUCUUGACAUGGCAAAGUCAAAAAAGAGCAAGGAAAAUAAUAUAGUAGGGAGUGCUGUUACUCGUCGGGUGAAAUGGAAAAGGUUCUGCCGUCGAGAUUCUGCUGGUACUUAUAGUGCAGUAGAAGGUCCAAGUCCACCGGCUAAAUCUACAAACACAGUAUCACCUGCUCCACCAGCUGCAGCAUCCGCUUCAGCUGUACCAGCAUCCCAACCAGUUACUCAUUUGUUUGCUCCGGAACUGGCCAGUUCCCAAGCUGCCUUCACACCUAACACUACUUCCGAAGCACUGCUGACACAACAGGACUUGGCAAGAUCAGAUGAACCUCAUGAGCAUUAACACCAAGACGGUACCUGACUGAGUCAAGUUGCAGUUGCAUGCUCCUUUAUAUGUACUCUCAGAGUUUGAUGUACACUAACACUUUCCAUAUUCGUUGUUGAACUAGCACCACGGCGCAAGCGGAAACAGACAUCAGGGAUAACGCUUGAUAGAUUAACAAAAUCUAAAGGAGGAAGAAUGGAGAUCCAUUUUGAGGCAGGUUUAAAAAGGCCACGUGAUGCUACAGAGUCAGCCAAGUUAGUAUCAGAGGCAGCUGUUGCCGUUAGGUGUCAUGCGCGUAUCCUCCCAACAUGGAUCCAGUAUAGGAAUGAGAAAGACAAUACCCAGUUUAACACCUUCCUUGACCAUUUAUCCGUAAGUAAUGUUAUUCAUCGCAAUUAGUAAUAUUGUCUUUCUCUGUCCCAUACUUUCUAGCUUCCUCCUAAUAAGACUCACAUUCUUUUUUCAACAGAUGAGGUUCAAGUUGGAUCCGAAAGAUGAUGCAGCUAAACAAGCAUGCACUCAUGUUUUUCAGUCUGCUCUGCGACAGUAUCGGUACCACCUUAGAAAAUCUCACUUUGAAGGCAAGGCUAACAAUGAAAUCGCCCAAAUAUCUCCAGUGGAAUAUAUCACAGAUGAAGACUGGACAACCCUCGUUAAACACUGGUCUGAUCCAAAGUAUCAGGUAGGUUAUAUGUAUUUGAUCAGACCACAUAUUGAACUUGUAUUUAUGUAUGUGCCUUACAAGUGUAUCUUCUUCUAGGCUAACUGUUUGAAGAACAAAACCAACCGUUCUAAAGUGAAAUUCCAACAGACAACAGGAUCUCAUAGCUAUAUUGCACACUGCGAGGCUCUUGUAAAUAGCCGCUACUUCCUUAUUUUUUGUGUGCCAUAUUAUCGUAUCUAUAUUGACUUGUUCCAAAUAUAGAGGAAAGCCCAUGCGGACCAAAAAGAACCUGAACCGAAUGCAGUGAAAAUCUUCAAGGAUUGCCACACAAGCAAGAUGAAGGGCAUGAGCACACCAGUUCAAGCCGCUAUUGUAAGUCCUUACUCCUCCUGCCUUGAACUGAUUGGUACUGUGAUGUGUUCAUUUAACUACUUGGUUUGCAACCAAUGUCAGUUACUCUGUUCACUUUUAUACACAGUUGUCUUAACGUAUCAUUUCACCUUACAUGGUUUAAAAGAUAUGAAGGAUAUUCUUUUGGUCUUGAUCUGUAAUCUAGUUGUUAUGUUCACGUGCGCACACAAUGAUAAAAUAGCCUAUUUGUUUUAUAUCUGUUUGCCCAUGAUAUGAAUGAUGUCAUACUAUGUUCAUCCUACUUCAAACCAUGUCUCUUUAUCCUUAGAUGUUAACAAAUGUGAGGAAAUAGACAAUACAGUAGGCAUGCUACAUGGGCAUAUGUUCCGAAAGUGAUUUCAUUAUGUAGUUGGCACUACAAUACAUGAUAAUGUAUUACAGUAGUUCACCAAAAUAAGUUAUGUAUAAACGUUUAACCUACUUUGUUUGUUUUUAUCUCAUUAGUAACUUAUCUGGUAUACUAAUCUACAAGUUCAAACUUUCAGGAAGCUAUGGAACAAAUGAUUGAACAGCCACAACCACCUGAAGGUGACGAGGCUACUACAGGCACAAUGUCACCUCUUGCUGCAGUGCGUCAGUAUCUCUCCACUAACAGUGCAAAAUGCACCUUCCUGCGUAAUUCUGGGUUGGUUGUCAAGGUAACCUCGUCCAAAUCGCCUACUGAACAAAAUCUUCCUGCUAGACAGAGUGAUAUAUCUGUGCUCUAGACACAAGUCCAAUCCCUAAUGGACGUUGUUUCGGAAACAAAAUAGUGGUUGAGAAAUGUCGUCAAGAUAUGAAUGGUUUUGAAACCAUACUAUCAGACAUUCGCUUCGUUGUUGAAGAGCAAUGGCAGAAAAAGGUGGAGAUCGUGCUGCUCCAUCAGAUUCUACAGCCUGACACAUUAGCACUCAGGUCAAAUGAUCUGUGCUUCUAUACAUCUGAUGGUGCUUUUAUCUGGAAGGACUGUAAACUUUAUGCCAACAGGCCUUUUGUUGUAUGAUUGGAAUUUAUUUUGUUGUGAUACAACAUUUAUCAUGCUGCCACAAGCUGCAGUAAUUACGAUGCUAUUUUUGUAUAGUGUAGGUUUAUCUUAGUAAUGUAUUCGGCCGAAAGCUUCGUAGGAGACCAACAUGCCAACAUUCGUCGGGCCCAUUCCAAUUGGGCUAAAAACGAUUACGGGCCGAAAUUGGCAUGUAUCCCACUAAAAAUAUCUGGGCUUAAAUUAGCAUAAGCUUUCAAAUUUUUCUGGUAGGCCUGUGCCCAUAGUGGGCCUUUAACAGGCCUAAACAUAAUGUGGGCCCUCAGUAAAAAUAGGCCGUUUAUAGGUGUAAAUAUCUCGAGCCCAUAAAAAACAUGGGCCUUUAAUAGACCGAAAGUGAGAUUGGGCCCUGAUUGUGCCAAAUAACCCACUGGACUUAGCAGGCCGAAAUGGUGGCCCAUUUACGAUGCGGAUAUUUGACAGGCCAAAAUUUGGACGGGCCGUAAAUGCACCGACCUAAUACACGGGCCUUUAACAGGCCGGAACUUCGGUCGGGCUAGAUUAUCGUCAUUUUUAUAUGGGCCGUUAAUGGGCCCGAUAUGACGUUGGGCCACAUAUGGCCCAUGGUUUACGUCCGGCGUUAACAGGCCAAAAAUGACAACAGGCCGAAAGUGGCCCAAAUCUAUAGUGGGCCUCUAACAGGCCGAAUGACAGACAUGGCAGAAUAUGACCCAAAUCCUUCACGGUCGUUUAUGGGCCGAAAGUUUUGAUGGCCUGUAAAUGGGCCCAAAUGAAGCCGGACCUUUAACAGGCCGGAAAUACACCGGGCCGUAAUUCGGCCCAAUUACUUAGCGGACUGUUAAUGGGCCAGAAGUGACCAUGGGCCACAUUGAUGACAAGUUUAGACCAGGCCAUUGACGGGCCGAUUUGAUAGAGAAUGUUGGGCCUUUAGCUGGGCCGGCCCAUUAUGGUCUGCAGAAUCUUGUGGGCGUUUAGCUGGGCCGGCCCAUGUGGUCCGCAAAAUUUUGUGGGCCUUUAGCUGGGCCGGCCCAUUUUGGUCCGCUAAAUUUUGUGGGCCCUUAGCUGGGCCGACCCAUUAUGGUCCGCUAAAUCUUAUGGGCCUUCGGUUGGGCCGGCCCAUUUAAACUUUGUGGGCCACUUUUGGGCCGGUCCACGUGUCAACAUAUCAUAGUCCCAUCUCGACCAUUGGAUGAGUGACACCUGUGCCAAUGCGGAGCUGACACAUGGAUCCGUCAGCCAAUGAGAAUUUUACACGUGGAAAAUCGGCAUUGGUCGUGACUGUUAACGGGUUAUCGGAUCCAAAAUCCAACCCGAUAGCUUAACGGCGUUCCGUUACGGUGGAUGCCACGUGUCGGUCACCCUUGACGAAAGCACUUCUAUGACGCGCGAUUUAUCGUCAUGGAAGUGGACACGUCCGUGAUGAUAAUUUUGGUAAUGUCAUGGAACACUUCUACGACAACAUAGGUAUGACUAUCUUGAUUCUGUCAUAAAUUUGUCAUGGAUGUACAUGCAUGACAAAAAACGCGACCUACUGUGACAAACACGUAUCAUCACGGAAGUGUACUUUUUUUGUAGUGCAAGCAUCCGCAACUACUAAAGAUCAUUAAGGUAAAACCCAACCAUAGCAUUAAAGCAUCAUAGGACAACACCAAUAAUAAAACAUGCAACUCAAACCAAUCGUAGCAAUUCAUCAAUCACCGAUAGGACAACAAAAAUCUACUCAGACAUCACAGGAUGGCAACACAUCAUUGGAUAAUAAUAUGAAGCAUAAAGCACCAUGUUCAAGUAGAGGGUACAGCGGGUUGCGGAGAGUGGACCGCUGAAUAUAGAUGGGGGAAGGUGAUGGAGAUGUUGGUGAAGAUGAUGGAGGUGUUGGUGAAGAUCACGGUGAUGAUGAUGGCCGCCGGCAGUGUUCUGGCGCCACCGGAAGCAAGGGGGAGAGAGCCCCCCUUCUUCUUCUUCUUCCUUGACCUUCUCCCUAGAUUGGAGAAGGGUUUCCCCUCUGGUCCUUGGCUCCCAUGGUGUGGAAGGGGCGAGAGCCCCUCCGAGAAUGGAUCUGUCUCUCUGUUUCUAUGUUCCCGGAUUCUGCCCUGGCACCGUUUCUUUUAUAUCUGGAGAUCCGUAACUCCGAUUGGAUUGAAACCUUCGCCCAGUAUUUUUCCAAAAAUUAGCUUUCUUGUGGCCAAAGUAGAGCAUCAACCGCCUUACGAGGGCCCCACGAGGGUCAGGGGUGCACCCACUUAAAGUGGUGGCGUGGGCCACCCUCGUGGCCACCUCGGGCACCGUCUCGCGUUGAUUCUUCCUCCUAAAAAUCACAAAUAUUCCAAAAUAAUUCUCCGUCCAUUUUUAUCCCGUUUGGACUCUGUUUGAUAUGGGGUUUCUGCGAAACAUCAAACAUGCAACAAACAGGAACUGGCACUGGGCACUGGAUCAAUAUGUUAGUCCCAGAAAAUAGUAUAAAAAGUUGCCAAAAGUAUAUGAAAGUUGAAUAAUAUUGGCAUGGAACAAUCAAAAAUUAUAGAUACGACGGAGAUGUAUCAGCAUCCCCAAGCUUAAUUCCUGCUCGUCCUCGAGUAGGUAAAUGAUAAAAAAGACAAUUUUUGAUGUGGAAUGCUACCUAGCAUAAUCUUGAUCAUAUGUCUAAUCAUGGCAUGAAUAUUAAGACAUGAGUGAUUCAAAGCAAUAGUCUAUCAUUUGACAUAAAGACAAUAAUACUUCGAGCGUACUAAUAAAGCAAUCAUGUCUUUUCAAAACAACAUGGCCAAAGAAAGUUAUCCCUACAAAAUCAUAUAGUCUGGCUGUUGCUAUAUCUUCAUCACACAAAGUAUUUAAUCAUGCACAACCCUGAUGACAAGCCAAGCAAUUGUUUCAUACUUUAGUAAUCUCAAACUUUUUCAACUUUCACGCAAUACAUGAGUGUGAGCCAUGGACAUAGCACUAUAUGUGGAAUAGAAUGGUGGUUGUGGAGAAGACAAAAAGGAGAAGAUAGUCUCACAUCAACUAGGCAUAUCAACGGGCUAUGGAUAUGCCCAUUAAUAGAUAUCAAUGUGAGUGAGUAGGGAUUGCCAUGCAACGGAUGCACUAGAGCUAUAAAUGUAUGAAAGCUCCACAAAAGAAACUAAAUGGGUGUGCAUCCAAUUUGCUUGCUCACGAAGACCUAGGGCAUUUUGAGGAAGCCCAUCAUUGGAAUAUACAAGCCAAGUUCUUAAUGAAAAUUCCCACUAGUAUAUGGAAGUGUUAACAUAGGAGACUCUCUCUAUGAACAACAUGGUGCUACUAAAGCACAAGUGUGGUAAAAGGAUAGUAGCAUUGCCCCUUCUCUCUUUUUCUCUCAUUUUUUAUUUUCUCUUUUUUUGGGCUUCUUUGGCCCCCUUUUUUUAUUUGGCUUCUUUGGCCUUUUUUUCAUUAAGUCCGGAGUCUCAUCCCUACUUGUGGUCGAAUCAUAGUCUCCAUCAUCCUUUCCGCACAGGGGCAAUGCUCUAAUAAUGAUGAUCAUCACACUUUUAUUUACUUACAACUCAAUAUUACAACUCGAUAUCUAGAACAAAGAUAUGACUAUAUGAAUGCCUCCGGCGGUGUCCUGGGAUGUGCAAUGAUCUAGCGUAGCAAUAACAUAAAAAAAA
rnacentral:lncRNA from 1 species